rnacentral:rRNA from 1 species
CCCUUAGAUGUUCUGGGCCGCACGCGUGCUACACUGACGAUGGCAACGAGUUUUUCCUUCGCCGAAAGGUGUGGGUAAUCUUUUGAAACAUCGUCGUGCUGGGGAUAGAUCAUUGCAAUUUUUGAUCUUGAACGAGGAAUUCCUAGUAAGCGCGAGUCAUCAGCUCGCGUUGAUUACGUCCCUGCCCUUUGUACACACCGCCCGUCGCUACUACCGAUUGAAUGGUUUAGUGAGGACUCCUGAUUGGCGCCGCCGCCCCGGCAACGGAGCAGCGGACUGCCGAAAAGUUGUUCAAACUUGAUCAUUUAGAGGAAGUAAAAGUCGUAACA